AAGUAAAGAGCUAUGUAGAGCGCUUAAUUUCGACUUAGGUGAAGGGAUUAUAUAGUGAUUCACAUU
rnacentral:tRNA from 1 species